rnacentral:rRNA from 1 species
GUCCACGCCCUAAACGAUGCGAACUGGAUGUUGGGUGCAACUAGGCACUCAGUAUCGAAGCUAACGCGUUAAGUUCGCCGCCUGGGGAGUACGGUCGCAAGACUGAAACUCAAAGGAAUUGACGGGGGCCCGCACAAGCGGUGGAGUAUGUGGUUUAAUUCUAUGCAACGCGAAGAACCUUACCUGGCCUUGACAUCCACGGAACUUUCCAGAGAUGGAUUGGUGCCUUCGGGAACCGUGAGACAGGUGCUGCAUGGCUGUCGU